rnacentral:rRNA from 1 species
GAUGAACGCUGGCGGCGUGCCUAAUACAUGCAAGUCGAGCGAACGGACGAGAAGCUUGCUUCUCUGAUGUUAGCGGCGGACGGGUGAGUAACACGUGGAUAACCUACCUAUAAGACUGGGAUAACUUCGGGAAACCGGAGCUAAUACCGGAUGAUAUUUUGAACCGCAUGGUUCAAAGGUGAAAGACGGUCUUGCUGUCACUUAUAGAUGGAUCCGCGCUGCAUUAGCUAGUUGGUAAGGUAACGGCUUACCAAGGAAACGAUGCAUAGCCGACCUGAGAGGGUGAUCGGCCACACUGGAACUGAGACACGGUCCAGACUCCUACGGGAGGCAGCAGUAGGGAAUCUUCCGCAAUGGGCGAAAGCCUGACGGAGCAACGCCGCGUGAGUGAUGAAGGUCUUCGGAUCGUAAAACUCUGUUAUUAGGGAAGAACAUAUGUGUAAGUAACUGUGCACAUCUUGACGGUACCUAAUCAGAAAGCCACGGCUAACUACGUG